AGGCGGCGGGCGCGGCCGGGAUGGCGAAGAGCAACGGAGAGAAUGGGCCGCGCGCGCCCGCGGCCGGGGAAAGCCUGUCGGGAACCCGGGAGAGCCUGGCCCAGGGCCCCGACGCCGCAACCACCGACGAACUCAGCUCUCUCGGGUCCGACUCGGAGGCCAACGGCUUUGCGGAGCGCCGCAUCGACAAGUUCGGCUUCAUCGUGGGCUCGCAGGGCGCCGAGGGCGCGCUGGAGGAAGUCCCCCUGGAGGUGCUGAGGCAGAGGGAGUCCAAGUGGCUGGACAUGCUCAACAACUGGGACAAAUGGAUGGCCAAGAAGCACAAAAAG
rnacentral:sRNA from 1 species